rnacentral:sRNA from 1 species
GCACCUUAUAAAACGGGUGUCGGGAUUAGGACCCCGCUGACAAUCGAGGCGAUACAGACGCCGAACGCGUCUUUUUU